GGACUGGGAUGAAUUGCAUAUUGCUUUUGUGAUUCUUUAUGGUAAAAAGCCCCAGGUUUCCAGCAUCCCGGAGCCUUGCCGGAGCCUUGCCGACCAUGAUUGGCUCCACCUGAGGGACGCAGGGCCUGGGAUUCCCUCCCCGCUAGCAGCAGUGACGUCACAGGCGAGCUCCUCCGCGGCGCUGGGCUGGAGCGGGGGAGGCGUCCCUGGGAAUUUCCAGGGAAACACUGCAGCAGAUGGCCUGCCUGGCUGAGCUUCAGUGACACAUCUGCAGCACGGCUGGUAGGAAGGAUAUUUUCGGAAAAUCUAUGCUCUCCCAGGUCCAGCUAGUUCUGAGAUAUAUAUGGACAUCAUGUGAAGGAUCCCAAGCCACGAACCAACGCUACACCCUACGUGCCUCCCUCCCCCCAACGUUUGCUUUCUGCCAGUUACAUUAUGCAGGCUGUCAAGGUGGCCGGUGGAAUACAAGGGCAAAUGUUGCUAAGGUAACAGGAUUGAAAACCUGUCUGCAGAAGCAGAUGCUUUAUAACCUGGGGUUUCCCUCAUUUGCAUUUAAAGGCUCCUGAGCCAUAGCCUCAAAGCAAGCCAAGUCCUUGAAGCUAAAAUAAGCUUAUUUAUUUAUUUAUUUUUAGAAUGUCAUCUGACAAGUCAUUGAGCAGCUUGUACCCCUGGCAAGGUUGAAUAAGUGCAGAAAAAAAUAAUCAGGUGCCAGUAAUUCCCACUGCAGUGGUCACAGAACGCAGGCAUUGAAGAGCACCC
rnacentral:lncRNA from 1 species